GCCCCGCCAUGCCGCGCCGCGCCGUUCCGUUCCGCCGAGGAGCAGCGCCACAGAAGCCGGGAGAGAGACACGCAGGCUAAAAAUGAGCUUUUAUUGAGCACAAACACACGAGAGCAGAGAAUCCUGCAGCGAGAAGCAUGCGGGAUGGAGACUGGAGGGAUGGCAGAAAACCUGAAGGGAUCACGGCACCACGCUCUGAGGCUGCAACAAAGAGCUGCCGGCUAGUCUAGGUCGAGCAAAAGCUACUGCUGCACUCCCGGAUGGUCAUGGUUCAUUAAACUCAAAGCACAAGUCCAUCCUACACCGCAGUGACUACAGCAAUUAGCAACUGACCAUGCUCUUGACAUGCAAGUGAGCAGCACCACUGAACAGCUGUGCCUGAAUGCCAAUCGCUUAUCAAUUGCAACUCAGUUCCCUGGCCACGUACACAAGACACAAGUGUCUGGAGCAGCACACGCUAUUCUCAAGCUGACAAAUUUCACUAUUGCUGUUGAAAAGCCUUCCAAAAGUAAAGCAGACUGUAUCAAAACAAAACACUGGUAGAUUCGCAUGGCAGCACAAUAAUCCCUUAUAAUUUAAGGUAGUUUUCAUACAAAUCAAAUUUCCAAAAAUAUUUUGCAAACUCUGGCAUAUGGCUAUGAUACACUAUGUACAAAUAAAAUACCAGAACGGUUACAUUUUAUUGCUUUUUUUUAUUAUUUGGUUAAGGAAUUAUAAGUGUAUAAAAGAGUAUGGGAAGCUGCAAGAAGCAGAUAUUAGCUUCUUGUCCUCAUAAAGCCAAGGUUGGUUGGUUUUAAUUUGUUUUUAAAUACUGUGUUUUAAAAUGUCACAUCAAAAGCAUCUCCUUAGCAGGUCACGUCUGCAUUACCCAAAUAGGACAGAAGAGCAACAGUGAAAGAAGCCUAAGCAAUGAAUAAAAGGGUUUCAUUUUGCACAUUCCUUCACUGAUACACACUUCCAGAAUACAAUUAUUAAUAAAACUAUAAACAUCCAAUCCAAAGUUACACAAAAUUCAACCGUUAUCAACUGACUUCCACAUAAACUGAUGUUUCUGUGAGGUGGGUAAUUUCCAUUCACUAAUCAUGCAAAAAAGACUCCCAACAAGAUCAGUGAUACUGUGAACAAAAUCACCUGAUGUGGCUCUGACCUGGCUUGCAAAAGAAUCCCUUCUCCAUUUUAUUUUUUUUUUACAUUCAAGAAGGUUAUAAACACAGUGUUUACAUCCACUAGUAUAAACACACCCUGAAAUUCCUCUACCCUAGUGAAACCUCAUUUAAAAGCACUCAUCAGUAGAGAGCAUUGAUGUGAUUAUACAAUCCUGUCCUGCCUUGUACAUCCUUUUUUGACAAAGACAAAAGUUAGGUACCAAGAAGCAAUCACAUGCACGUUAGACAGAAAACAACCCACAAGUUCUACUCCAGGCCACUCCCACCUACUCACAAUCCUACUGACAAGGAGCCUUACUCAGGGCUCUUCAUCAGUGACCCCACCAACAGCGGGUGGAAGAAGCCAGCAGCAUUGGCAACCUCAUUCACAAAAUCUCUGGUGACCAGCCAGCGAGACUCAACACACCUCUGACUGCUCCCUGCACAGCGCGCAGGGGUAUGAACUAUCCAGGUGCUACUCAGCAGGCUGCAUCGCAGACUUUUACCUCUUAGGUAUCUGUUAUUCAGUAGCUUUUUUUUUUUUAAAAACAAAAAAAGAUAGGCUCAUCUCACAAAAUGUAAUCUGGACGCAAUACAGCAAAGCUAAAAGAAUGCUGAAGUGAAAACCCAAGCACUUGGUAGGCAAUUGCUCCUGUAGGCUCAUGAUAGAAAAACACAUUCAACUCUUCCCUCUAAAAGUAAGUCCUGCUAUAGAUGGACAUAGUUUACCACUCCUUCCUUCCUCUGCCUGAGUCCAAACUCAUUCAUGGAUAUACUUAGUCAAAACUAGAAUUUUAGUUGAAGCUCUCAACUAUGCCUUUUAGCCAAAUCUCUCAUUAUAAAGUUUACUACCAACGCAGCCCCUAAUGCAAACCUCCCCUUAAAUAUGCAUAAUUUACUCUAUUUCAAAUAUUUACAAGCAGAGAAAGCCCAUCUUUACAAGACAGAUCUCUUUCUGCUUUACAUAAAGUGCAACUCUCUAAUUUAAGGCAAAUUUCAGUGAAAUAUAAAACCAUAGUUUUAUUUUUGUAUUUUAAAUUAAAAACAAGAACUCCCUUGGAAAGAAUGACCAAGAAAAGCAUCUAAACAAGUGUGGGAAUUUUCUGGAUUUUAACAGUCCCAAUAUUAUGUCCUGUCGACAUCUAAACUUGUAAUUUGUUUUCAAUAAAAG